CAGGGAGACAACAAAAUGUUUAAUAUUAUUAUUUUGUCACCUUAGGUCGAUCGGUACCUCACGUUCUUGAUUUAUUAAGAAUUUCAUUUCCUAAGUUUUUCUAGGUCACACCCAUUAUUUUUCCUGGGCCAUUAGCUCAGGUGGUUAGAGCGCACCCCUGAUAAGGGUGAGGUCCCUGGUUCAAGUCCAGGAUGGCCCAUAUCUCUAUGUUGGGGGUAUAGCUCAGUUGGUAGAGCGCCUGCUUUGCAAGCAGGAUGUCAGCGGUUCGAGUCCGCUUACCUCCACUGAUUACCACCUCUUCCAUAUUCGGUAGAAAGGAAAUGUUUUGAGUUGUGAUCAAAUUCUGAACGAAUCUAGCUUCCUAAUGUAAUUAUUAAGAUGCUGGACUCAUUGAAUUAAUUUCAUUGUUUUCAGAGAACCUUGACAACUGCAUAGAUUAUUUUUAAAGACAAUAAGCAUCUUUAAUGAUGCAGAUUUAUUAUUUUUGCUAAUGCAUUAAUAACAAUUCUAUUAAGCUGAUGCUUCAAUUUUGAAGUUAUU
rnacentral:tRNA from 1 species